rfam:Gossypium hirsutum cultivar TM-1 chromosome 9, whole genome shotgun sequence
AAUGGACGGGACAAAGGGUCGCAAUCCCGCGAAGGUGAGCUUACUCCAAAAACCUGUCCUCAGUUCAGAUUGCAGGUUGCAACUCGCUUGCAUGAUC